rnacentral:rRNA from 1 species
UAAUUGAAGAGUUUGAUCAUGGCUCAGAUUGAACGCUGGCGGCAGGCCUAACACAUGCAAGUCGGGCGGUAACAGGGGGAAGCUUGCUUCUCUGCUGACGAGCGGCGGACGGGUGAGUAAUGUAUGGGGAUCUGCCUGAUGG